GACGAAGGUGGCGAGCGUUGUUCGGAAUCACUGGGCAUAAAGCGCACGUAGCGGUGCCGUAAGUCGGAGUGUGAAAUCCCUCGGCCUAACCGAGGAACUGCGUCCGAUACUGCGGUGCUUGAGGAUCAGAGGGGUGCAUGGAAUUUCUGGUGUAGCGGUGAAAUGCGUAGAUAUCAGAAGGAACAUCAGUGGCGAAAGCGGCUUCCUGGACCAA
rnacentral:rRNA from 1 species